rnacentral:misc_RNA from 1 species
UACGUAGGGUGCAAGCAUUAUCCGGAGUGACUGGGCGUAAAGAGUUGCGUAGGUGGUUAGUAAAGUGAAUAGUGAAAUCUGGCGGCUCAACCGUACAGACUAUUAUUCAAACUCACUAACUCGAGAAUGGUAGAGGUAACUGGAAUUUCUUGUGUAGGAGUGAAAUCCGUAGAUAUAAGAAGGAACACCAAUGGCGUAGGCAGGUUACUGGACCAUUUCUGACACUGAGGCACGAAAGCGUGGGGAGCGAACCGG